GACGAACGCUGGCGGCGUGCUUAACACAUGCAAGUCGAACGGUAAGGCCCUUCGGGGUACACGAGUGGCGAACGGGUGAGUAACACGUGGGUGAUCUGCCCUGCACUUCGGGAUAAGCCUGGGAAACUGGGUCUAAUACCGGAUAGGACUCCGGACUGCAUGGUCUGGGGUGGACAGCUUUUGCGGUGUGGGAUGGGCCCGCGGCCUAUCAGCUUGUUGGUGGGGUGAUGGCCUACCACGGCGACGAGGGGUAGCCUGCCUGAGAGGGUGACCGGCAACACUGGGACUGAGAUACGGCCCAGACUCCGACGGGAGGCAGCAGGGGGGAAGAUUGCACAAUGGGCGCAAGCCUGAUGCAGCGACGCCGCGUGAGGGAUGACGGCCUUCGGGUUGUAAACCUCUUUCAGCAUCGACGAAGCGAAAGUGACGGUAGGUGCAGAAGAAGGACCGGCCAACUACGUGCCAGCCGCCGCGGUAA
rnacentral:rRNA from 1 species